ACGGGGGGGGCAAGCGUUGUUCGGAAUUACUGGGCGUAAAGGGUUCGUAGGUGGCUUGUUAAGUCAGACGUGAAAUCCCUCAGCUUAACUGGGGAACUGCGUCUGAGACUGAUGAGCUCGAGUGCAGGAGAGGAACGCGGAAUUCCAGGUGUAGCGGUGAAAUGCGUAGAUAUCAGGAGGAACACCGAUGGCGAAGGCAGGUCUCUGGGCCGCAACUGACGCUGAGGAGCGAAAGCAUGGGGAGCGAACAGGA
rnacentral:rRNA from 1 species